AAUCAUAGCUCUAGAAGGAUCCUCAGAAGUCCUUUGAUUUAAAAUGCACAUUCUUUCCAUAAUGGGACUGAUAUUUUAACACUGGAACUGAAUAUGGCUUCCCUUGGAAAUCCUAAACCUAUGAUUUCGUGGAAAUCCCAGCAUUCCCAGAUAAGAAAAAUAGGAUUUGUACACCAGUUCUCUGACUUUAAAGCUAGUGUUCUGUCCAUUGUACCACAAUUGGCUCCCUAUUAUUAAUGUAAUGCAGAUCAGGGAAAUAUAAUAAAGGUGUGUUGUUUGUUUUGAUUUUCUUUUGUUGAUAAACAAAAGUAUAUUCUGAGAAAGGCAAUGUGGAAUAGUAGAAGGAGCAAUGAAUUGAGAAUCAGAUCUGGCUUUCUUUAUUGCCUCCAAAUAACUUUCUGGGUGGCCCGGACCUAACCUCAUUAUGUAUCCACUUCCACUUUGGAAAAUGAAGAGGUUGAACCAGAUGAUUUCUAAGGCUUUUUCUAGCUUUGACAUUCUAGGGUUCUAAAAUUCAGAUGAAUGAAAACCUCCUACCUUACAUGUCCUUUCACUCAGUGCUUCUAACUGAUUAUGAUUCCUUCUAAGGAAAAAGUAGAGGGAAAGUGUGAAAAAAGAGACAGUCAUGGGGCAUAAGAGUAAGGCUGGGCACAUCAUUGGACUGUUAGCAGAGCUGUGAAGAGUAAAACACUGGAGGAACUUUCUCCAGGAGAGAAGAAAUGGAAAAGGAGAGGGAAAUAAAAAUGCAGAAAGACUUGAAAAUCAAUCACUAAAAUCAUUAAUUUUGCUAAAGUUUCUGCUUUAAAUUUGCAUUAAAGGAUUUACAGGAAAAUCAUCCAUUGUAAACUAGUAGAGUCUAUACAUUUUGAUGAUAUGAUCAAAGUUAGGUAUCAUGGAAAUAAUUUUUAAGUUAGG
rnacentral:lncRNA from 1 species